rnacentral:misc_RNA from 1 species
GAUGAAGAACGUAGUGAAAUGCGAUAAUUAAUGUGAAUUGCAGAAUUCAGUGAAUCAUCGAGUCUUUGAACGCACAUUGUGCCCCCUGGUAUUCCGGGGGGCAUGCCUGUCCGAGCGUCAUUGCUGCCCUCAAGCACGGCUUGUGUGUUGGGCUUCCGUCCCUGGCAACGGGGACGGGCCCAAAAGGCAGUGGCGGCACCAUGUCUGGUCCUCGAGCGUAUGGGGCUUUGUCACCCGCUCCCGUAGGUCCAGCUGGCAGCUAGCCUCGCAACCAAUCUUUUUAACCAGGUUGACCUCGGAUCAGGUAGGGAUACCCGCUGAACUUAAGCAUAUCAAUAAGCGGAGGA